rnacentral:rRNA from 1 species
AYCAGGAAUCCCUAGUAGCGGCGAGCGAAGCGGGAAGAGCUCAAAUUUAUAAUCUGGCACCUUCGGUGUCCGAGUUGUAAUCUCUAGAAAUGUUUUCCGCGCUGGACCGCACACAAGUCUGUUGGAAUACAGCGGCAUAGUGGUGAGACCCCCGUAUAUGGUGCGGACGCCCAGCGCUUUGUGAUACAUUUUCGAAGAGUCGAGUUGUUUGGGAAUGCAGCUCAAAUUGGGUGGUAAAUUCCAUCUAAAGCUAAAUAUUGGCGAGAGACCGAUAGCGAACAAGUACCGUGAGGGAAAGAUGAAAAGCACUUUGGAAAGAGAGUUAACAGUACGUGAAAUUGUUGGAAGGGAAACGCUUGAAGUCAGACUUGCUUGCCGAGCAAUCGGUUUGCAGGCCAGCAUCAGUUUUCCGGGAUGGAUAAUGGUAGAGAGAAGGUAGCAGUUUCGGCUGUGUUAUAGCUCUCUGCUGGAUACAUCUUGGGGGACUGAGGAACGCAGUGUGCCUUUGGCGGGGGUUUCGACCUCUUCACACUUAGGAUGCUGGUGGAAUGGCUUUAAACGACCCGUCUUAAMMCMMSGGAMMCA